rnacentral:rRNA from 1 species
AACGUAGGUGGCGAGCGUUAUCCGGAUUUACUGGGCGUAAAGGGUGUGCAGGCGGGUGAACAAGUGGGGUGUGAAAGGUUUCGGCUCAACCGAGAUAGGUUAUGCCAGACUGUUUACCUAGAGUGUGAGAGAGGGACGUGGAAUUCCGGGUGUAAUGGUGAAAUGCGCAGAUAUCAGGAGGAACACCGGUGGCGAAGGCGGGUCUCUGGGCCGUAACUGACGCUGAGGAGCGAAAGCGUGGGGAGCGAACAGG